GUCCAGCUGAGAGAUGUGGCGAGUUGAGAGGGGAUUAGACUCUGGCAACAGCAGGAGAAUAACAGCUCAACUGCAACUCUUAGAAAUCUUCUCAUUUAUCGGUUGUCCUCUAAACAGACUACUGGAGAGUGAUGAUCAUCUGAAGGCUGGACAAAAUCACCAGGAUAAACACAAAAAUGAAAGAAAAAAGACUGGUUUCUCAGAAGGUGUCCCUGAAAUGAGAACGUACCACAGAUGUGCCUCCAUUAUGUCUGAAGAGCGAAGAGAAAGAAGCUAGUCAGGGAAAAAAGAAAGAAAGAAAGACAGAAAGAGAGAAGAAAAGACAGACAGACGGGGAGAGAGAGA